UCUCUCUCUCUCUCUCCCUCUCCUUCUCUUCCUCGCCGCCGCUCCACAGUUGCCGCCCACCACCACCGCUACACUGCAGUUAUGAGACGGAGGGAGCCGCGCACGCGGCAGCGUUGCUCCGCCAAUUCGCCUCGCCGGAGUCGUUGCAGCGGCUGGGCAGAUCUGGCGCGGCCGUGAGCUGCCCAUUGAACGGCAGAUCUGGCGCGGGCAAUAGAGCUGCCCAUUGAACGCUUCUAUGAAGGUGCUCUGCUCUGCUCUCUUCAAUUUCUAGGCCAAAAGCUUCAGCUCAAGGUAUCUGCUUACUUCAUCGAUUGGGGGAUUAAUCUAGGGUUUUGCUUGUGUCUUAAAUCUUAAAUAUUCUUUUCAAAAUUCUUCUUUUUUUGUCUGGAUUUUCUAUUUGUUUUCUGGAAUUUCAUUAAUUUUCUGAUGGUUUGAGCAAAUGGGCUGAAUCAACGUUUGAAUUAUAUUAGUACUAUUUUUGUUGAAAUAUGGAAGGGGAUAACCGGGUUGGGUGUUGUGUUCAUGUGUUGUAGCUUCAGAAUUCAGAAUAUGUAUUGAUUGAAUUCUAUACUUGGGCUGCCUUGUUAUUAGUGUGAUUUUGCCUCGUUUAUGCUUCAAAAUAUUGCCAGCAUUAGGCAAUAGCAUUGUGAGAACUACAUGGCUGACCUUAAUAGUUGCGAGGUUAUUUUUAUGGACUAAUGCUACUAAUUAUGUGAUGUGUAUUUAGUCUGUCUUUGCUAUUGUUUAAACUCAUUUAUUCAAGUGUUUGUAUUCUCCAACUAUUUAAUUGGGACAAACCUUGAUCUAAUAAAGAAAUGACUUACUAUGCUUUUGUUGCCAUAUCUUGCUAGAUUUAAGCAGUUUGAUUCUGUUAAGUUGCAAGCAAAUGUUAUCAUUCCUAUGUGAUUUCAUAUAUUCUUGUAGAACUUGGGACACAAGUAGUAGGAGAGGCCUGUGCCGCUGCAUAGCAACAAGAAGCCAUGGCUGUUCCUUUGCUGGACAAGAAGGUUGUGAAGAAGCGUGUCACGAAGUUUAAGAAGCACCAUAGUGACAUUUAUGCAUGUCUGAAGGUAUGCAUUCUGCUAUUCUUUGAUUGUAUUCGUUGUUUUUUGUUAUGCCAAGUUUGUCACAAGGUGAAUAUGACAGAGGUUAAUAUUCUAAAAAUGGGGCCAAUUAC
rnacentral:lncRNA from 1 species